rnacentral:rRNA from 1 species
AUACGGAGGGAGCAAGCGUUAUUCGGAAUCACUGGGCGUAAAGGACGCGUAGGCGGGUUUGUAAGUCAGGUGUGAAAUCCUACAGCUCAACUGUGGAACUGCACUUGAAACUACAGACCUAGAGUAUGGAAGGGGCAGAUGGAAUUAGUGGUGUAGGGGUAAAAUCCGUAGAUAUCACUAGGAAUACCGAAAGCGAAGGCGAUCUGCUGGGACAUUACUGACGCUGAGGCGUGAAAGCGUGGGGAGCAAACAGGAUUAGAAACCCCGGUAGUCC